GCAUUUAAAGUUUAUCUGCGUAAUACUUUAUUUUUCCAUCUUUUUGUCUUUGUUUACGCGCGGAGAAGCUUUCUCUUCUGCUAACAGAGUCGGUAAAAGAACGUUCAAGCUACAGCGAAAACUUCAGAUGGCGUCGGUACUCAGAAGUCGCGUAAUGGACUCAGGACCUAUGCGUGCGCAGACUCAGGGGGCAGAAGCUAACGAAAAUGGAGCAUGAAAUUCUGGAUCGACCAGACCGCCAAAGAACUGAGAAUCACUUCAUUGGACGUUUUCUGGUUUUACACUUAUCGAAUAGAGUUAUCCAUUGUUGUCAGUCAAAGAGUUAUAGGUUAUUUAGUGAAUCAUGAUAUUAUCGGCAUAGAUUGGAAUAGAGUAAUGUUAAGCUUACCUGUAAAUCCACCAUUGAGAUAACAAUUUUAGAAAAAAUAACCAUUGUGGUUAUCUACGACUGCAUCACGGACGUGAUAUAAUGUUUAGGCUUCAAAUAUCAGUUAUUGAAAAAGACAGUAAUGUAAUUUAGCUUUCGAAAGACAUGUUAGGUUAAGUUAAUUUUUCUUAAAAAAGUGCAUUUAUUGUGUCAUGUGCCAAUCAGAAUAAACCUAAAGUUCACUUAAAAAUAAAUUUUACUUCAUUACAGUCGAGAAA